rnacentral:sRNA from 1 species
GGGUCGGACGGUAUAUUUGAUCGAUAAAUCCGCGGUCACACUGAUCUCAAUUGCGGAACAUAAGGCCGUUUUGAAGCCCAACUGUGGCCCACAACUCCGCCCUGCCUCAGCCAGACCACCAGAUCGGCCAGGUGGAUCUUAGCCGACCAGAUCUUAGCCCGAAUCUGAAGAAAACCAAGCUGGAUGAGGCCUCGACGGCGGGGUUGAUGCAAGCACAUAAACGGAUCAGGGCGUGGUGUCUAUGAUGAGCUUCCAUCUGCGUCGCAAAAAGGGACUGGAACAAACCCUGGCGGCCAAGCUUACACCAAAGGCGUACGUCAAGGAGACUCAUGCCGUGCCCGGGCUGCCGGAGCUGCUGGAUCCUGCAUUCCCAACAAGACACGUCUGGACAGAUUAUGCGCCACUACGGCAGUGCAAGGGCAUCCGCCAGUUGCAGGCUUUGUACGUGUCCCACCUGCACGCGGAUCAUCACAUUGGAUUGAUUGGACUGCUGAAGGAGCGCAGAUAGCUGGCCCCGAAGGAAACUCGCUGCUCUUACUUGCGCCGCGGCAGAUCGAGCCAUGGAUGGAGUUCUAACAAGGAUAGCUCUUGGCGAGACUCCUGACUGGAGAGGCAGUGGCACCAUUGGGCAUAACUGCCGCCACUGCCAAGUCACCAGUAGGAACUGCCAAGCCGCCAGUGCGAACAGCUGCUUAAAAUCUUGCGAGACGCUUGGCGAUGCUGUGGAUGAUCGAGUUCAGCCCAACAAUCAACCUUUGCGGAAUGAGAGGAGCAGCAGCAAGGCAAGAAGGAGCGCAGACAACUGGCUCCAAAGGAAACUCGCUGCUCAUACUUGCACCGCGGCAGAUUGAGCCAUGGAUGGAGUUCUAACACGGAUAGCUCUUGGCGAGACUCCUGACUGGAGAGGCAGUAACUUUGGGCAUAACUGCCGCCACUACCAAGUCACCAGUACGAACUGCCAAGCCGCCAGUACGAACAGCUGCUUAAAAUCUUGCGAGGCGUUUGGCGAUGCUGUGGAUGAUCGAGUUCAGCCCAACAAUCAACCGUUGCGGAAUGAGAGGAGCAGCAGCAAGGCAAGAAGGAUGCCGAUCAGGAUUUUUACUAAAACCAGGAGAGUUCGGCUAACUCGUCGCAGUCCUCGGUGGGCAUUGAUGACUAUUGGGAUGAAGCUCUGGUUGGCGACUAUGGAAGCACUCAGAAUGAUGACAGCGAUGACUUGGACGGGCACAACAACUAGCCACCUAUCGAUGGGCAGCAAGGAAAAGAACCCGGCCGCAACGAGUUGCGUUACUAUUGGCGAUCAUGAGGUCAUGGACUGCAAAGAACAAUUCGACAAGCAGCAACAUUACUUGGGCCGAGCAGGGCAGUAAAUGUAAAAGUUGUACAGCACUAUCUUUAAAGCGUGCUCCGGCGGUCUUAAGCCUUCUGCACCAUGUUUUACAUCAUCGGUUUCGACCGGGAGCGCAGACAGCUGGCCCCGAAGGAAACUCGCUGCUCUUACUUGCGCCGCGGCAGAUCGAGCCAUGGAUGGAGUUCUAACACGGAUAGCUCUUGGCGAGACUCCUGACUGCAGAGGCAGUGGCACCAUUGGGCGUAACUGCCGCCACUGCCAAGUCACCAGUAGGAACUGCGAAGCCGCCAGUACGAACAGCUGCUUAAAAUCUUGCGAGACGCUUGGCGAUGCUGUGGAUGAUCAAGUUCAGCCCAACAAUCAACAGUUGCGGAAUGAGAGGAGCAGCAACAGGACAAGAAGGAUGCCGAUCAGGAUUUCUACUAAAACCAGGACAGUUCGGCUAACUCGUCGCAGUCCUCGGUGGGCAUUGAUGACUAUUGGGAUGAAGCUCUGGUCGGCGACUAUGGAAGCACUCAGAAUGAUGACAGCGAUGACUUGGACGGGCACAACAACUAGCCACCUAUCGAUGGGCAGCAAGGAGAAGAACCCGGCCGCAACGAGUUGCGUUACUAUUGGCGAUCAUGAGGUCAUGGACUGCAAAGAACAAUUCGACAAGCAGCAACAUUACUUGGGCCGAGCAGGGCAGUAAAUGUGAAAGUUGUACAGCACUAUCUUAAAAGCGUGCUCCGGCGGUCUUAAGCCUUCUGCACCAUGUUUUACAUCAUCGGUUUCGACCGGAUCCAGUGGCCUAAAAAGUGCUAUAGAGCGAUCCUCUCUUACCCCACCAGGAGGUCACCCCCUCCGGUGGCCAUGAAUACCUUUUGCAUGACCGCGAAUACCGAAUUACCCACCAUCGUUUAACUGGGGCUUCACACUUCAGGUCCUCCGGUUUAGCUGAACGAGUGGGCGCUCGAUGGCGGCUGUCCACUCCAGGCGCCUACCGGCUGACAUCGCGAGCUCCCCACCGGCUCUUGGGACAUGACUUACAUCGCGCGAGCUGUGGCCUCUAGCCUGGACGACCUUUGGGUCCUCUCGGGAUGUGUAAGGGAUGUGCUCCUGGCUGGACUGUGGCAGGCACUGUCUGUCCUCCUGCGGGCCAAAGCCAUGAUGCCACUACUGUGUCGCUGAAUCGACAAUGUGGCGUCCCGUCCGCUGCAGCAGGGACCACUGAUCGACUUCAGAAUUGUGGGUUCACGCCCACGGUAAUCAAACGCUGGUCUUCAGCCUCGAGGCGCAGGGCUUAUGUACCAUAUCCAAGCAUUGCCGAAUCGUAUCCCAGCAGGACAAAAGCGCACCCCUUGGAAGAGCCCAAAUCUAACAAGCCGACGUCACAUUUCGACCUGGCCAUUGAAAACUAUCUCAAGGACUUUGGCUAUGGCAACCAAGGGAGGGAUACGCGGACUACCAGACUAUAGAUAGAUCUCGUUGUUAAUAGGUUUAAGGAUACACACGUCUGUACAUUUAGAUAGUAGAUAUAAAUAUUUCCAAAUUGUUAAUUUCUUUAUAGUAAGUUAACGUUAUUAUGAAUAAAACUAUUGAAAAAUUA